rnacentral:lncRNA from 1 species
UUGCGUGUUGCCACUGUCGCGACGUUGAUUGCAUGGACUGGUGAGCCCAUUUCUGGAAGCUUUUGGAGGAGACUGUCUGGAUACAACUUCAUCAACUGGGAAAAUUCUUAUGUUAGCUGGGGAGGGGAAUGGUACAAACAAGGAACUAGAAACACCAAGGUGAAUUGUCCAUAAGCGACAGGGGAGUGAUUGGGAUCGACCUGGCAGAAAAGUCCAGUAAACGGGAGAGUUUUCCUAGCGUUCGAGGGAGCACCGCGUGUGCAGCUGGCCGGCCAGCAACUGGACACCACAGCAUUGUUGGUCGAUCCUAGCACUACACGUCGAUAAGCUCUGUUGAUUCUAUCAUAAAGCUAGUUAAGCUGCUAGUACAGUAGUACUACUCAGAAGAGAUAAUCUUUUGUGUUAAAGCGGUGGUUUGAUAAGUCGGCGCACGCCAGUCUUAAAACGGGCAAGUGGGCUUUAGAAUUUUCAUGGGUGCGCUGGACGUUUAAACAACAGGGAGCGAUAAAUCUGGUCAGAUUUGUUGCCACGCGACCCAGCG